rnacentral:rRNA from 1 species
UACGUAGGGAGCAAGCGUUGUCCGGAAUCAUUGGGCGUAAAGCGCGCGUAGGUGGCCAUGUAAGUCCGCUGUGAAAGUCAAAGGCUCAACCUUUGAAAGCCGGUGGAUACUGCAUGGCUAGAGUACGGAAGAGGCGAGUGGAAUUCCUGGUGUAGCGGUGGAAUGCGCAGAUAUCAGGAGGAACACCAAUAGCGAAGGCAGCUCGCUGGGACGUCACUGACACUGAGGCGCGAAAGCGUGGGGAGCGAACAGG